AGGAUCAUCAUAGAGGACAGUGAUCAAUCUAUUUAAGGUCGGUGUACAGAUCACCUCCAUUUUGGAUAGAUAAGUCUCCGAUCUAUAGUGUAGGAAUACUGGGAUGAGAGUGCAGGUGGUUGUUAGAGAAUAACUUACAUUGAGCAUGAUCAAUAUGAAAAAUUACUUGAAUGUCUACUCACUCAUCAGUGGUUGUCUCGAUGCUACGGUGGUGUGAGUAGUCCUUUGACCUAUGGUGUUAUCGGUUAUUCACAGUGAGACUACUGAGUUUGAUUGUACAUUCUCUUAAUCCCUAACCAUU
rnacentral:lncRNA from 1 species